GUAGGCUGUUCUGAGGGCAAAAGGGGGUGCAACUCAAUAUUAGGAAGGUGUUCUUAAUGUUUGGUAUAGUCAGUGUAUACUAUAAUGCAUUGUGCCUCUCAAGGGGGUGGAAACUGAGGCUAGACUGGGCCUGACUGAAGGCUGGCUGGCCGGAUGCAUUAUGACCUGAAGCUCACAGGCAUUUACAAUGCUCUCCACCAAUACCCUGGACUGUAACUGUUAGGUUGAAUGCUCUCCACCAAUACCCUGGACUGUAACUGUUAGGUUGAAUGCCCUCCUCCAAUCCCCUGGACUGUUACUGUUAGGUUGAAUGACUAACGAUGAAGCCUACCUACAGUGAUUUGCUCUGACAGCAUUUUCUAUGUUAAUUUGACUAAUGAGUAACAUUUAAGUAUUUUUUUGAAGAGGUACUCAUGUCAACAAAUGAAUUUAGUUUAUUUUACAGGGAAAGGUUUCUGUACAGCACUUCGAGAUAUUAGCUGAUGUACGAAGGGCUAUAUAAAAUAAACUUGAUUGAUUGAUUGAUUGAGAGGUGUGUGAACAGGGGAUGYACACUAUGAGGAAAUGGGAGGGGAGAGAUGAUGUCAAAUAGUUUUAUAACCUGAAUGAUGAACCAUGUCUCUGACAUUUUGUAUUUUAUUGGAGCUGUGGAUGUGGCUAGCUCUGGUCCAGGGGGUUAGUGCAUUCCUCGCUAACGCCCUGGACCAGAGCUAGUUGUGYCUAACUGUGGUGGACCUGAGGAGAAAUUGAAUUUUAAAAUGCUGUAAUUUCAAGUAAAUAAGAGGGGGAAAAAACAAGACCUUACUUUAAAGACGAGAUCAAAGCUGCUCUCCCUAAUGAGGAGUUGUACAUAUAAAUGUAUUUGAACAUAGUAUUAUUUGCAAUAUUAUAAUGUACAGAAUUGUAUUUAUAUUGUAUCUCAACAAACUGUUUUAAUUGGUACAAAGAUGUUCUAGAAUACAGAACGUUUACAAUCUAAA